UGAUGACUAAAAACCACCUGGAUUCUAUUUCUACACAGUCCACCAGUGAGCAAGCUGGGCCUUGACUAAGUGAAUGGUUAUUUUCUACCUUUUUGCUUGUGCUGGGCAUCUUACUUUUCAUCAGAUGGACAAUAAAGAACUACCCAUCAAAUUAAAUGGAUAUUCAGGAGGCAAGGGGCAG
rnacentral:lncRNA from 14 species